CUUGGUCAAUCGAGAAAAAUUUCACUUUUUUACUAGAGUCGGGUACCCUGAACGAAAAAUCGCUCAAGUGAUGGUUUUUGGCCAAUAACUCGAAUACUAGACGUCGGAGGGGGGUGUCGUGGAACAAUUUUUGGUAGCCCUUGAAAUUAUCUAUCGAAUGACAUAUACUUGAUUUUUGGCCAAAAAGUUCCCUAGACUAGUAAAAAUCGCAUCAUUUUACUAGAGUCGGGUACCCUGGACGAAAAACCGCUAUAGUUGCGGUUUUUGGCUAAUAACUCGAAUACUAGACGUCGCAGGGGGGUGUCGUGGAACAAUUUUUGGUAGCCCUUGAAAUUAUCUAUCGAAUGACAUAUACUUGAUUUUUGGCCAAAAAGUUCCCUAGACUAGUAAAAAUCGCAUCAUUUUACUAGAGUCGGGUACCCUGGACGAAAAACCGCUAUAGUUGCGGUUUUUGGCUAAUAACUCUAAUACUAGACGUCGGAGGGGGGUGUCGUGGAACAAUUUUUGGUAGCCCUUGAAAUUAUCUAUCGAAUGACAUAUACUUGAUUUUUGGCCAAAAAGUUCCCUAGACUAGUAAAAAUCGCAUCAUUUUACUAGAGUCGGGUACCCUGGACGAAAAACCGCUUAAGUUGCGGUUUUUGGCUAAUAACUCGAAUACUAGACGUCGCAGGGGGGUGUCGUGGAACAAUUUUUGGUAGCCCUUGAAAUUAUCUAUCGAAUGACAUAUACUUGAUUUUUUGACCAAAAAGUUCCUAGACUAGUAAAAAUCGCAUCAUUUUACUAGAGUCGGGUACCCUGUACGAAAAACCGCUAUAGUUGCGGUUUUUGGCCAAUAACUCGAAUACUAGACGUCGGAGGGGGGUGCCGUAGAACAAUUUUUUGUAGCCCUUGAAAUUACCUUUCGAAUGAUAUAUAGUGGUUUUUUGGUCAAACAGUGACCCCGAGACUAGUAACCCUCCAUACACAAAACCGCCUAAAAAGUUUUGGUUUUGCAAAAUUUUGAAAAGUGCGUCAAAAAAAAUUUUUUCAAAAAGUACCAAAUCGUGAUCAGAACUCACUAUAGACCAUAAAAAGUGAAAUCCGAUGGUCAUUUGCAACACUUGGUCAAUCGAGAAAAAUUUCACUUUUUUACUAGAGUCGGGUACCCUGAACGAAAAAUCGCUCAAGUGAUGGUUUUUGGCCAAUAACUCGAAUACUAGACGUCGGAGGGGGGUGCCGUAGAACAAUUUUUUGUAGCCCUUGAAAUUACCUUUCGAAUGAUAUAUAGUGGUUUUUUGGUCAAACAGUGACCCCGAGACUAGUAACCCUCCAUACACAAAACCGCCUACAAAAACUUUGUUUUGAAAAAUUUUGAAAAGUUCAAAAAAAUUUUUUUUUCAAAAACUACUAAAACGUGAUAAGAACUUACUAUAGACCAUGAAAAGUGAUAUCCGAUGAUAAUUUGCAAAAGUUGGUAACUAGUAAAAAAUUUCACUUUUUUACUAGAGUCGGGUACCCGUACAUUGAACAUUUUGUAUGGAAGACAACACUUGGUGCACCAAACUUUGUACCGCGAAUAACUUUUUUGCCCGGCAUCGGAGCGCAUUGUCGUGGAACAACUUUUUGUAGCGCGUCACGAGACGCAUCUAAUUCUGAAGAAAGAUCGAGAAAAUGUUGAAAAUUGACCGAGUUAUGGCAGGUGAAAGAAAAAGCUUAGGUCGCGAAUAACUUUUUUGCCCGACAUCGGAGCACAUGGUCGUGGAAGACUUUUAGCUUGCAUUUGUCGAGAUCUAUCCAAAUCACAAAGAAAAUCCAAAAUCGGUCGGUAAAUGACUGAGAUAUGGGCAAAAAUAGGUUGAAACGUGGCACCGGGGUUGAACGGGGUUGAAAUAGGUUGAAAUAGAGGUUUUUCGCGAAUAACUUUUGUGCCCUACGUCUGAGCACAUGGGUGUAGAAUACUUUUUGGUAGAAUUUCACGAGAUGUAACUAAAACAGAAGAAAUUUUGGAAAAAUGUUGAAAAUUCACCGAGUUACAUCGAAGAAUAGGUGCAAAUGUGAACAUUUUGUAUGGAAAACAACAGUUGGUGCACCAAACUUUGUACCGCGAAUAACUUUUUUGCCCGGCAUCGGAGCGCAUGGUCGUGGAACAACUUUUUGUAGCGCGUCACAAGACGCAUCUAAUUCUGAAGAAAGAUCGAGAAAAUGUUGAAAAUUGGCCGAGUUAUGGCAGGUGAAAGAAAAAGCUUAGGUCGCGAAUAACUUUUUUGCCCGACAUCGGAGCACAUGGUCGUGGAAGACUUUUAGCUUGCAUUUGUCGAGAUCUAUCCAAAUCACAAAGAAAAUCCAAAAUCGGUCGGUAAAUGACUGAGAUAUGGGCAAAAAUAGGUUGAAACGUGGCACCGGGGUUGAACGGGGUUGAAAUAGGUUGAAAUAGAGGUUUUUCGCGAAUAACUUUUGUGCCCUACGUCUGAGCACAUGGGUGUAGAAUACUUUUUGGUAGAAUUUCACGAGAUGUAACUAAAACAGAAGAAAUUUUGGAAAAAUGUUGAAAAUUCACCGAGUUACAUCGAAGAAUAGGUGCAAAUGUGAACAUUUUGUAUGGAAAACAACAGUUGGUGCACCAAACUUUGUACCGCGAAUAACAUUUUUGCCCGGCAUCGGAGCGCAUGGUCGUGGAACAACUUUUUGUAGCGCGUCACAAGACGCAUCUAAUUUUGAAGAAAGAUCGAGAAAAUGUUGAAAAUUGGCCGAGUUAUGGCAGGUGAAAGAAAAAGCUUAGGUCGCGAAUAACUUUUUUGCCCGACAUCGGAGCACAUGGUCGUGGAAGACUUUUAGCUUGCAUUUGUCGAGAUCUAUCCAAAUCACAAAGAAAAUCCAAAAUCGGUCGGUAAAUGACUGAGAUAUGGGCAAAAAUAGGUUGAAACGUGGCACCGGGGUUGAACGGGGUUGAAAUAGUUUGAAAUAGAGGUUUUUCGCGAAUAACUUUUGUGCCCUACGUCUGAGCACAUGGGUGUAGAAUACUUUUUGGUAGAAUUUCACGAGAUGUAACUAAAACAGAAGAAAUUUUGGAAAAAUGUUGAAAAUUCACCGAGUUACAUCGAAGAAUAGGUGCAAAUGUGAACAUUUUGUAUGGAAAACAACAGUUGGUGCACCAAACUUUGUACCGCGAAUAACUUUUUUGCCCGGCAUCGGAGCGCAUGGUCGUGGAACAACUUUUUGUAGCGCGUCACAAGACGCAUCUAAUUCUGAAGAAAGAUCGAGAAAAUGUUGAAAAUUGACCGAGUUAUGGCAGGUGAAAGAAUAAGUUUAGGUCGCGAAUAACUUUUUUGCCCGACAUCGGAGCACAUGGUCGUGGAAGACUUUUAGCUUGCAUUUGUCGAGAUCUAUCCAAAUCACAAAGAAAAUCCAAAAU